rnacentral:lncRNA from 1 species
AGCCGUUGAUCAAAUAAGAUCAACGUCCUAGAUCCUAUUGCCUUAAUUAAAUCAGACGACCCCUUCCCCAAACCCUCAUUCACUCAGACCGUCUCUUUCUCUCUCUCUCAAACAAACUCUCCCCCUUCUCUCUAGAACCUUCUGGUUCCUUCUUCUCCGAUGAAACUCGUCGCCUCUCCGACCAUACUCCUCCCUCACUUCUCUCGAUCUCCAGUCGCCAUGGAACACUCAUGCCGUUGUUUCUCUGUAAAGCUCGAAGCCCAGAGACCUCCGCCAUGAAAUACGGUCGCUGAAUGCUUUUCUUGGGUUCUUUGCCGACUGUUCUCCGGUGGUUUUUGUCCGAUGUUGCCUUCUAUGGCAUUAUAUACGAGUUUCACAGCCAAGUUUCUCAUUUUCCUAAUUUAUUUUGCAAACUUUAAUUUUUUGCCUAAAUCUCUUAAAUCUCUGUCUUUUUAAGUGAUUUUCGGUUUAAUCUUUGUUUUCUACACUACUUUUAACUCAAUAUCUUUUGAUUAAUUCAAGUUUUCAAACGUCUGUACCUCUUUUUUAAAACUAGGGUUUCUGACCCUUUUGCAAAAUCGCUACUUUCUAUUUUUUCUUGAGUAUUAUGUGUGUAUUGUUUGUGUUAUCUUCUAUUUAUUCCGAGUUCCACUUAAGUUUUCUACUAGAGGUCCGUCUUCUAUCGAGUCUGACUCUCCUGCUUAGGGUUAUCUGAUUUUUCUUGAUUGUUCAUCGUCUACCUAAUAUCCUGCUGAUUUUUGUGCAUCUCUGUGAAUCCUUGAUCUGUAUGUGUUGUUUGCUUAGAAGUUUUACACUGAUUUUUUCUAAAUUAAUUACUCCGUUAUUUGUGAUGUGCUUUCCUUACUUAGAACAAAUUCCCUUGUGAUUCUAGUGUCAUCCGUGAUUCUUCGACUAAUUUUCAGAGUAAAUUUAUAUUUUUACCAAAUUUAUGUGCAUGGACACGCUUUCAAAUAUUCAGUAUAUAUUUUCCUUACUUGAAAUACUAUGUAUUUAGCCCUUAUUACGUAAUACAUGCUUUACUAUUCCUACUAUGG